GAUGAACGCUAGCUACAGGCUUAACACAUGCAAGUCGCAGGACUGGCGCACGGGUGAGUAACGCGUAUCCAACCUUCUCAUCACUACGGGAUAACCCGUUGAAAGACGGCCCAAUACCGUAUGGUUGUGGAUGGGGAUGCGUCUGCUUGGCUUGGUGGCGGGGUAACGGCCCACCAAGGCGACGAUCAGUAGUGGUGCGGAGAGGAAGCGCCCCCACAUUGGAACUGAGACACGGUCCAAAACCGUACGGGAGGCAGGAGUGAGGAAUAUUGGUCAAUGGGCGAUAGCCUGACCCAGCCAAGUAGCGUGCAGGAGGACUGCCUAUGGGUUGUAAACUGCUUGUAUGUGGGGAUAGGUACCACAUGAAUAAGGACCGGCUAAUUCCGUGCCAGCCGCCGCGGUAAUAC
rnacentral:rRNA from 1 species